rnacentral:rRNA from 1 species
AGUGGCGGACGGGUGAGUAACGCGUGAGAAUCUGCCCUUUGGUUGGGGAUAACGUUUGGAAACGAACGCUAAUACCCGAUGAGCCGGAAGGUAAAAGCUUUAGUGCCAAGGGAUGAGCUCGCGUCAGAUUAGGUAGUUGGUUGGGUAAAGGCUGACCAAGCCUGUGAUCUGUAGCUGGCCUGAGAGGAUGAUCAGCCACACUGGGACUGAGACACGGCCCAGACUCCUACGGGAGGCAGCAGUGGGGAAUUUUCCGCAAUGGGCGAAGGCCUGACGGAGCAAGACCGCGUGGGGGAGGAAGGUUUGUGGACUGUAAACCCCUUUUAUCAGAGAAGAAGUUUCUGACGGUAUCUGAUGAAUCAGCCUCGGCUAACUCCGUGCCAGCAGCCGCGGUAAUACGGAGGAGGCAAGCGUUAUCCGGAAUUAUUGGGCGUAAAGCGUCCGUAGGUGGGUGAGGAAGUCUGCUGUCAAAGCGUGAGGCUUAACCUCAUAAGGGCAGUGGAAACUCUUCGUCUAGAGUGCGACAGGGGCAAGGGGAAUUCCUAGUGUAGCGGUGAAAUGCGUAGAGAUUAGGAAGAACACCGGUGGCGAAAGCGCCUUGCUGGGUCUGCACUGACACUGAGGGACGAAAGCUAGGGGAGCGAAAGGGAUUAGAUACCCCUGUAGUCCUAGCUGUAAACGAUGGGUACUAGGCGUUGUCCGUAUCGACCCGGGCAGUGCCGGAGCUAACGCGUUAAGUACCCCGCCUGGGGAGUACGCUCGCAAGAGUGAAACUCAAAGGAUUUGACGGGGGCCCGCACAAGCGGUGGAGUAUGUGGUUUAAUUUGAUGCAACGCGAAGAACCUUACCAGGGCUUGACAUGCCGCGAA